rnacentral:rRNA from 1 species
AAUUGGAGGGCAAGUCUGGUGCCAGCAGCCGCGGUAAUUCCAGCUCCAAUAGCGUAUAUUAAAGUUGUUGCAGUUAAAAAGCUCGUAGUUGAAUUUCGGGAUCGACGGGUCGGUCGCGCCUCUGGUGUGUACUGGCCCUGUCGGUUUCUCCCUUCUGACGAACCACGAUGUCAUUAAUUUGGUGUCGUGGGAAAUCAGGACUGUUACUUUGAAAAAAUUAGAGUGUUUAAAGCAGGCAUUCGCUUGAAUACAUUAGCAUGGAAUAAUGAAAUAGGACGUUUGAUCUUAUUUUGUUGGUUUCUAAGAUCGACGUAAUGAUUAAUAGGGAUAGUUGGGGGCAUUAGUAUUCAAUUGUCAGAGGUGAAAUUCUUGGAUUUAUUGAAGACUAACUACUGCGAAAGCAUUUGCCAAGGAUGUUUUCAUUAAUCAAGAACGAAAGUUAGGGGAUCGAAGACGAUCAGAUACCGUCGUAGUCUUAACCAUAAACUAUGCCGACUAGGGAUCGGAUGAUGUUAAUUUUUUAAUGACUCAUUCGGCGCCUUACGGGAAACCAAAGUGU